rnacentral:rRNA from 1 species
UACAGAGGUCCCAAGCGUUGUUCGGAAUUAUUGGGCGUAAAGGGUGCGUAGGCGGUUUGGUAAGUCUUGUGUGAAAUCUUCGGGCUUAACUCGAAGUCUGCACUGGAAACUGCCGGGCUUGAGUGUGGGAGAGGUGAGUGGAAUUCCCAGUGUAGAGGUGAAAUUCGUAGAUAUUGGGAAGAACACCAGUGGCGAAGGCGGCUCACUGGACCGUAACUGACGCUCAUGCACGACAGCGUGGGGAUCAAACAGG